rnacentral:rRNA from 1 species
AGCGCAGGUGGUUUAUUAAGUCUGGUGUAAAAGGCAGUGGCUCAACCAUUGUAUGCAUUGGAAACUGGUAGACUUGAGUGCAGGAGAGGAGAGUGGAAUUCCAUGUGUAGCGGUGAAAUGCGUAGAUAUAUGGAGGAACACCGGUGGCGAAAGCGGCUCUCUGGCCUGUAACUGACACUGAGGCUCGAAAGCGUGGAAGCAAACA